GCCAGAUAAGGGAAGCAGGCCUCCGAAGCCAGCAGUGGCAACCCACUUGGGUCCCUUUCAAUGCUGUGGAAGCGUUGUUCUUUCACUCUUCUCAAUAAAUCUUGCUGCUGCUCACUCUUUGGGUCUGCCCCGCUGUUAUGAGCUGUAACACUCACAGCCAGUGUCUGCAGUUUCACUCCUGAAGCCAGCAAGACCACAAACCCACAGGGCGGGACAAACAACUCCGGACAGGAGGAAUGAACAACUCUGGACGCGCCACUUCUAUGAACUUUUAUGAACUGUAACACUCACCGCAAAGGUCUGCAGCUUCACCCCUGAGGCCAGGGAGACCACGAACCCACCGGAAGGAAUGAACAACUCCAGACGCACUGCCUUUAAGAGCUGUAACACUUACCACGGAUGUCUGCAGCUUCACUCCUGAAGUCAGCGAGACCACAAACCCAACAGAAGGAAGAAACUCCCGACACAUCUGAACAUCUGAAGGAACAAACUCUGGACACACCAUCUUUAAGAACUGUAACACUCACCGUGAGGGUCAACCGCUUCAUUCUUGAAGUCAGCCAGACCAAGAACCCACCAAUUCCGAGUCUCACUUUGUUGCCUAAGCUAGAGUGCAGCGUCGUGAUCAAGGCUCACUGCAGCCUCAACAUCCUGAUCCCCAGUGUUCCUCCCACCUCAACCUCCCAAGUAGCUGGGACCACAGUCUAUCUGAAUCAUGUUAUUGGACCAUGAGAGCAAGCAGCUGGAUCUCAUUCUGUCCAGGGUUUCAUCAUUUUUGGCCAUGCUGGCCUUGAACGCCUAACCUCAAAUGAUCCACCUGCCUUGGCCUCCUGAAGUUCUGGGAGUUAUAGGCAUGAGUCACCAUGCCUGGCACCACAUAAAAUUAUUUUGUCAUUAACAUUACAUUUUAAAAUACAAACGCUGUUUUCCAUAUUACUCAGGUCAGAUCUUUUACCCCACUUCUCUCAGUGAGAUUGCAUUAUUUAUUUCCAUCUCUAUAAUCUACUGUUCAUCCAUCUAUCUAUCCAUCCCUCAAUUUAGUUUUUUCACUACAUUCUGCAUUUGAUUCUUUUGAGGGUGUAUGCUUGUGUUUGUGCGUGGAAGUGGGGGUGUGUGUGUGUGUGUGUGUUCAAAAAGGUCUACAGUUUCCUUUUUCUGUAAUAUCUGUGUCUGCUGUUGGUAUUAGGGUAAUGCUGAACUCAUAGAGUAUGUGAAAAGUUUUCUACAUUCUUUGAUUUUUCUGAAAGAAAUUGUGCAGAAUUCAUAUUAUUUCUUUCUUAAAUGCUCAAGUGUUUAUUAAAAUUUACCAGUAAAA
rnacentral:lncRNA from 1 species